rnacentral:rRNA from 1 species
AGAGUUUGAUCAUGGCUCAGGACGAACGCUGGCGGCGCGCUUAACACAUGCAAGUCGAGCGAUAACCCAGGCUUCGGCCUGGGGGAAAGCGGCGAACGGGUGAGUAACACGUGGGUAAUCUGCCCUCGACAUCGGGAUAGCCCGGGGAAACCCGGAUUAAUACCGGAUAGCCCAACAGCUCUUCGGAGCGGUUGGAAAAGGUAGCUUUGGCCUCCGGUCGAGGAGGAGCCCGCGGCGGAUUAGCUUGUUGGUGAGGUAAUGGCUCACCAAGGCUCCGAUCCGUAGCUGGUCUGAGAGGACGAUCAGCCACACUGGGACUGAGACACGGCCCAGACUCCUACGGGAGGCAGCAGUGGGGAAUCUUGCGCAAUGGGCGAAAGCCUGACGCAGCGACGCCGCGUGGGGGAUGACGGCCUUCGGGUUGUAAACCUCUUUCGACCGGGACGAAGCGAAAGUGACGGUACCGGUAUAAGAAGCACCGGCCAACUACGUGCCAGCAGCCGCGGUAGUCGGCCCAAUCGCC